UACAGAGGGUGCAAGCGUUAAUCGGAAUUACUGGGCGUAAAGCGUGCGUAGACGGUCAUGUAAGUCGGGUGUGAAAGCCCCGGGCUCAACCGAGGAACUGCGACGGAUACUGCUUGGCUUGAGUCCCGGAGAGGGUAGCGGAAUUCCCAGUGUAGCGGUGAAAUGCGUAGAUAUUGGGAGGAACAUCGGGUGGCGAAGGCGGCUACCUGGACGGGUACUGACGCUGAUGCGCGAAAGCUAGGGGAGCAAACAGG
rnacentral:rRNA from 1 species